rnacentral:rRNA from 1 species
GACGAACGCUGGCGGCGUGCUUAACACAUGCAAGUCGAACGAAAAGGCCCUGCUUUUGUGGGUUUCUCGAUUGCCGCACGCGUGUGUAACACGUGAGUAACCUCCCCUUGUCUGUCGGAUAACUUCAGGAAACUGCGGCUAAUACCCGAUAGGAUCUCCUGCUCCGUAUUGUUGGAUGGAAAGUUUCGGCUGUUGUGGCUGGUCUCGCUGCAUACCCGCCUGUUGGUGUGGUUGUGGCUGACCAAGGCUUUGACGGGUAGCCUGCAUGGGAGGGUUACCGGCCACAUUGGGACUGAGAUACGGACCAGACUCCUACGGGAGGCAGCAGGGGGGAACAUUGCAGAAUGGGCGGACGCCUGAUGCAGCAACGCCGCGUGCGGAAUGACGGCCUUCGGGUUGAAAACCGCUUUCGCCUGUGACGAAGCGGGAGUGACGGUAAUGGGUAAAGAAGCACCGGCUAACUACGUG